UACGAAGGGGGCUAGCGUUGUUCGGAAUUACUGGGCGUAAAGCGUGCGCAGGCGGCUUCUCAAGUCAGGGGUGAGAGCCCAGAGCUCAACUCUGGAAUUGCCUUUGAGACUGAGUGGCUUGAGUACGGGAGAGGUGAGUGGAAUUCCCAGUGUAGAGGUGAAAUUCGUAGAUAUUGGGAAGAACACCGGUGGCGAAGGCGGCUCACUGGCCCGUAACUGACGCUCAUGCACGACAGCGUGGGGAUCAAACAGG
rnacentral:rRNA from 1 species